rnacentral:rRNA from 1 species
AGUGAACGCUGGCGGUAGGCCUAACACAUGCAAGUCGAACGGCAGCACAGUAAGAGCUUGCUCUUACGGGUGGCGAGUGGCGGACGGGUGAGGAAUACAUCGGAAUCUACUUUUUCGUGGGGGAUAACGUAGGGAAACUUACGCUAAUACCGCAUACGACCUACGGGUGAAAGCAUGGGAUCUUCGGACCUUGCGCGAUUGAAUGAGCCGAUGUCGGAUUAGCUAGUUGGCGGGGUAAAGGCCCACCAAGGCGACGAUCCGUAGCUGGUCUGAGAGGAUGAUCAGCCACACUGGAACUGAGACACGGUCCAGACUCCUACGGGAGGCAGCAGUGGGGAAUAUUGGACAAUGGGCGCAAGCCUGAUCCAGCCAUACCGCGUGGGUGAAGAAGGCCUUCGGGUUGUAAAGCACUUUUGUUGGGAAAGAAAAGCAGCAGGUUAAUACCCCGCUGUUCUGACGGUACCCAAAGAAUAAGCACCGGCUAACUUCGUG